rnacentral:rRNA from 1 species
UGCGUAGGGUGCGAGCGUUAAUCGGAAUUACUGGGCGUAAAGCGUGCGCAGGCGGUUUCUUAAGCCAGAUGUGAAAUCCCCGGGCUUAACCUGGGAAUGGCAUUUGGAACUGGGAGACUAGAGUGCGUCAGAGGGGGGUGGAAUUCCACGUGUAGCAGUGAAAUGCGUAGAGAUGUGGAGGAACACCGAUGGCGAAGGCAGCCCCCUGGGAUGACACUGACGCUCAUGCACGAAAGCGUGGGGAGCAAACAGG